rnacentral:tRNA from 1 species
GCCCGGCUAACUCAAUCGGUAGAGCGUGAGACUCUUAAGGGCUCUCCCGAAAACACCUCAAGGUUGUGGGUUCGACCCCCACGUCGGGCU